rnacentral:misc_RNA from 1 species
AAUGUGCGAAAAGUAAUGCGAAUUGCAUACCUCUGCGAGUCAUCUAGUCUUUGAACGCAAAUGGCACUGUCUUGUCAAGAGACAGUAUGCCUGUUUGAGAACCGAAUACCUCUUCACCAUCCGGUGGAUGUGUCACUCGACUGUCGUCUGUGACUGAAUGAAUGAGUGCUACUCUGAAAUGUAGUGUGUUAGAGAACCGUGGUUCCACAUCACUAUUUUAAAGAGAUCAAUGGCAUGCAACUGUGUAUAGUAAUAUACAUACUUACAACACGGUCUCAAAUCAGGCAAGGCUACCCGCUGAACUUAA